GCAGCAGGCGCGAAACUUACCCAAUUAUUUAUAUAGAGGUAGUUAUGACACAUCAUAUAUUAUAUGAUUAUGACUUGUAAAAGAAGUCUUAUAAACUGGAGGGCAAGUCUGGUGCCAGCAGCCGCGGUAAUUCCAGCUCCAGUAGUGCAUAUACAUGCUGUAGUUAGAAAGUUUGUAGCCGCGUAAGUAGAAAUGUGAGGAAAUGAGGACUUUUAAGGUUUUACUUUUACUCAGGUUAACGCUUACGAUAGAAGCGGAUGGAGGCGAUUGUAUUCAGCAGCGAGAGGUAAAAUUUGAUGACCUGUUGAGGACAACCGGAAGCGAAAGCGAUUGCCUAGUACGCGUUUUGUGGUCAAGAACGUUAGCCGGAGGAUCGAAGAUGAUUAGAUACCGUUGUAGUUCCGGCCGUAAACUAUGCCGACUUGCCUUGUACAUGUAUGGGGGAUAGAGAAAUUAAGAGUUUUUGGGCUCUAGGGAUAGUAAUCCGGCAACGGACAAACUUAAAGGAAUUGACGG
rnacentral:rRNA from 1 species